CAAUAGCGUAUAUUUAAGUUGUUGCAGUUAAAAAGCUCGUAGUCGGAUUUUGGCUGAGAACGAACGGUCCGCCGUUAGGUGUGCACUGUUUGGUCUCAGCUUCCUGGUGAGGAGGUGUGCUUCACGGCCACUUAGUCACCGUGGUUACUUUGAAAAAAUUAGAGUGUUCAAAGCGGGCUUACGCUUGAAUAUAUUAGCAUGGAAUAACACCAUAGGACUCCUGUCCUAUUUCGUUGGUCUCGGGACGGGAGUAAUGAUUAAGAGGAACAGUUGGGGGCAUUCGUAUUUCGUUGUCAGAGGUGAAAUUCUUGGAUUUAUGAAAGACGAACUUCUGCGAAAGCAUUUGCCAAGGAUGUUUUCAUUGA
rnacentral:rRNA from 1 species